GGCCGGCUGGCGCAAUGGUAGCGCGUCAGACUUCUAUCAUCUCUUCUGAGAAAUAGCCAUCUGAAGGCUGCGGGUUCGAGCCCCGCGUUGGUCA
rnacentral:tRNA from 1 species